UACGUAGGGUGCAAGCGUUGUCCGGAAUUAUUGGGCGUAAAGAGCUCGUAGGCGGUCUGUCACGUCGGAUGUGAAAACUCGGGGCUCAACCCCGAGCCUGCAUACGAUACGGGCAGACUUGAGUUCGGCAGGGGAGACUGGAAUUCCUGGUGUAGCGGUGAAAUGCGCAGAUAUCAGGAGGAACACCGGUGGCGAAGGCGGGUCCCUGGGCCGAUACUGACGCUGAGGAGCGAAAGCGUGGGGAGCGAACAGG
rnacentral:rRNA from 1 species